GGUGGUUCUUGGGUGAUGCAUCCCGGAAUUGGGCUCCCUCCGCUCUGGUUCUGGGUGUGUCACCAGAGAGCCACA
rfam:Myotis davidii contig54363, whole genome shotgun sequence.